UACGUAGGUGGCAAGCGUUGUCCGGAAUUAUUGGGCGUAAAGCGCGCGCAGGCGGCCUUUUAAGUCUGAUGUGAAAUCUUGCGGCUCAACCGCAAGCGGCCAUUGGAAACUGGGAGGCUUGAGUACAGAAGAGGAGAGUGGAAUUCCACGUGUAGCGGUGAAAUGCGCAGAUAUCGGGAAGAACACCCGUGGCGAAGGCGGCUCUCUGGGACGGUACUGACGCUGAGACGCGAAAGCGUGGGGAGCGAACAGG
rnacentral:rRNA from 1 species